AUGGACAUCUCGGCCGGCGGCGGCGGCAACUCGCUGCCCACCACCGGCGCGGACGGCUCGAAGCGCCGCGUCUGCUACUUCUACGACGCGGAGGUGGGCAACUACUACUACGGGCAGGGCCACCCGAUGAAGCCGCACCGCAUCCGCAUGACCCACGCCCUGCUCGCCCACUACGGCCUCCUCGACGAGAUGCAGGUGCUCAAGCCGCACCCCGCCCGCGACCGCGACCUCUGCCGCUUCCACGCCGACGACUACGUCUCCUUCCUCCGCUCCGUCACCCCGGAGACGCAGCAGGACCAGAUCCGCGCCCUCAAGCGCUUCAACGUCGGCGAGGACUGCCCCGUCUUCGACGGCCUCUACAGCUUCUGCCAGACCUACGCCGGCGGCUCCGUCGGGGGCGCCGUCAAGCUCAACCACGGCCACGACAUCGCCAUCAACUGGGCCGGCGGCCUCCACCACGCCAAGAAGUGCGAGGCCUCCGGCUUCUGCUACGUCAACGACAUCGUCCUCGCCAUCCUCGAGCUCCUCAAAUACCACCAGCGUGUUCUGUAUGUCGAUAUCGAUAUUCACCAUGGGGACGGCGUGGAGGAGGCGUUUUACACCACGGACAGGGUGAUGACUGUCUCAUUCCACAAGUUUGGGGAUUAUUUCCCAGGGACAGGAGACAUUCGUGACGUUGGGCACUCCAAGGGGAAGUAUUAUUCCCUGAAUGUCCCGUUGGAUGACGGCAUCGACGACGAGAGCUAUCAAUCGUUGUUCAAGCCGAUCAUGGGUAAAGUUAUGGAGAUUUUCCGCCCCGGCGCGGUGGUACUCCAGUGUGGAGCAGAUUCCUUAUCCGGUGACAGGUUGGGCUGCUUCAACCUAUCCAUUAAGGGGCACGCAGAGUGCGUGAGAUUCAUGAGGUCCUUCAAUGUUCCAGUGUUGCUGCUUGGUGGUGGUGGUUAUACCAUAAGAAAUGUUGCACGAUGUUGGUGCUAUGAGACGGGAGUUGCACUUGGUCAUGAGCUAACUGACAAGAUGCCGCUAAAUGAGUAUUAUGAGUAUUUUGGCCCAGAUUAUACUCUUCAUGUUGCACCAAGUAAUAUGGAGAACAAAAACACACACCGGCAUUUGGAUGAAAUAAGAUCAAGACUUCUCGAAAAUCUUACAAAACUCCGGCAUGCUCCUAGUGUGCAGUUUCAAGAGCGACCUCCUGAGGCCGAGCAACCAGAGGUGAUCUUUCGACAAGAUGAGGAUCAAGAGAAUCCUGAUGAAAGGCAUCAUGCUGACUCUGAUGUGGAAAUGGAUGAUGCCAAGCCUCUGGAGGACUCUGAAAGGAGAACCAGUACUCAGGGUGCGAGAGUUAAGAGAGAAUCUGCUGAAACUGAGGUGACAACAGAUCAGGAUGGUAACGGAGUAGCUUCAGAACAAGUAAGGGGCCCAGAACCUGUGGCUGAUGGAGUUGGUUCCUCAAAACAAAACCCUCCUAUUGAUGCAAGUCCGAUGGCCAUAGACGGGCCAGCUGUUGUCAGGGCUGAACCAGAGAGGUCAAACAAAUUACAGGAACAACAAGCAUUGCAUCAGAAACCAUGA
rnacentral:rRNA from 1 species